AGUGAACGCUGGCGGCGUGCCUAAUACAUGCAAGUCGAACGGAGUGGCGCACGGGUGAGUAAUAUAUAGCUAAUCUGCCCCUUGCUGGGGGACAACAGUUGGAAAUGUCUGCUAAUACUCCAUAGCAAGGGAUGAGGCUAUAUCGUAUCAGCUAGUCGGUGGGGUAACGGCCUACCGAGGCUAUGACGCGUAACUGGUCUGAGAGGAUGAUCAGUGACAUGGUAAGUGAGACACGGUCCAAACUCCUACGGCAGGCAGCAGUAGGGAAUAUGGCGCAAGGGGGGAAACCGUGACGCAGCAACGGGGCGUGGAGGAUGACAAGUGGCGGAGAGUAAACUCAGUUUGUUAGGGAAGCGGUACCUAACGAAUAAGCACCGGCUAACUCCGUGCCAGCAGCCGCGGUAAUAC
rnacentral:rRNA from 1 species